GGAGGGUAUAGCUCAGUGGUAGAGUGUGUGCUUAGUAUGCAUAAGGUCCUGGGUUCAAUUCCCAGUACCUCCC
rnacentral:tRNA from 1 species